rnacentral:rRNA from 1 species
GACGAACGCUGGCGGCGCGCCUAACACAUGCAAGUCGAGCGAUGAAAUUUUAACCGAUCUCUUCGGAGAGAAGAUAAAAUGGAUUAGCGGCGGACGGGUGAGUAACACGUGAGAAACCUGCCUUUCACAAGGGGAUAGCCUCGGGAAACCGGGAUUAAUACCCUAUGACACAUUUCCUUCGCAUGGAAGAAAUGUUAAAACUCCGGUGGUGAAAGAUGGUCUCGCGCCUGAUUAGCUAGUUGGUGGGGUAACGGCCCACCAAGGCCAUGAUCAGUAGCCGGCCUGAGAGGGUGAACGAUCACAUUGGAACUGAGACACGGUCCAAACUCCUACGGGAGGCAGCAGUGGGGAAUAUUGCACAAUGGAGGAAACUCUGAUGCAGCGACGCCGCGUGAGCGAUGAAGGCUUUCGAGUCGUAAAGCUCUGUCCUAUGGGAAGAUAAUGACGGUACCAUAGGAGGAAGCCCCGGCUAACUACGUG